AACGAACGCUGGCGGCAGGCUUAACACAUGCAAGUCGAACGGUGUAGCAAUACACAGUGGCAGACGGGUGAGGAACACGUGGGAACAUCCCUUUCAGUUCGGAAUAACGUUGGGAAACUAACGCUAAUACCGGAUACGUCCUUCGGGAGAAAGAUUUAUCGCUGAAAGAUUGGCCCGCGUCUGAUUAGCUAGUUGGUGAGGUAAUGGCUCACCAAGGCGACGAUCAGUAGCUGAUCUGAGAGGAUGAUCAGCCACAUUGGGACUGAGACACGGCCCAAACUCCUACGGGAGGCAGCAGUGGGGAAUAUUGGACAAUGGGCGCAAGCCUGAUCCAGCCAUGCCGCGUGAGUGAUGAAGGCCUUCGGGUUGUAAAGCUCUUUUGUCCGGGAAGAUAAUGACUGUACCGGAAGAAUAAGCCCCGGCAAACUUCGUGCCAGCAGCCGCCGUAA
rnacentral:rRNA from 1 species